rnacentral:rRNA from 1 species
AUACAGAGGGCUCAAGCGUUAUACGGAUUCACUAGGCUUAAAGCGUGCGUAGGCGGAAUUGCAAGUGCGUUGUGAAAUCCCACCGCUCAACGGUGGAACUGCUUCGUAGACUGCAAUUCUUGAGGUCGGUAGGGGCCAUCGGAACGAUAGGUGGAGCGGUGAAAUGCGUAGAUAUCUAUCGGAACGCCCGAGGCGAAGGCGGGUGGCUGGGCCGAUUCUGACGCUGAGGCACGAAAGCGUGGGGAGCGAACGGGAUUAGAAACCCCAGUAGUCC